UAGGACUGUAGCUCAGACGGUUAGAGUGCCGCCCUGUCACGGCGGAGGUCGCGGGUUCGAAACCCGUCAGUCCUGCCAU
rnacentral:tRNA from 2 species